GGUCCCAUAGCUCAGCUGGAUAGAGCAACUGAUUUCUAAUCAGUAGGUCUCAGGUUCGAAUCCUGAUGGGAUCACUA
rnacentral:tRNA from 1 species